AAAAACCAAGAAUAAC
rnacentral:sRNA from 1 species